rnacentral:rRNA from 1 species
UUAAGCGACUAAGCGUACACGGUGGAUGCCCUGGCAGUCAGAGGCGAUGAAGGACGUGCUAAUCUGCGAUAAGCGUCGGUAAGGUGAUAUGAACCGUUAUAACCGGCGAUUUCCGAAUGGGGAAACCCAGUGUGUUUCGACACACUAUCAUUAACUGAAUCCAUAGGUUAAUGAGGCGAACCGGGGGAACUGAAACAUCUAAGUACCCCGAGGAAAAGAAAUCAACCGAGAUUCCCCCAGUAGCGGCGAGCGAACGGGGAGCAGCCCAGAGCCUGAAUCAGUAUGUGUGUUAGUGGAAGCGUCUGGAAAGGCGCGCGAUACAGGGUGACAGCCCCGUACACAAAAAUGCACAUAUUGUGAGCUCGAUGAGUAGGGCGGGACACGUGGUAUCCUGUCUGAAUAUGGGGGGACCAUCCUCCAAGGCUAAAUACUCCUGACUGACCGAUAGUGAACCAGUACCGUGAGGGAAAGGCGAAAAGAACCCCGGCGAGGGGAGUGAAAAAGAACCUGAAACCGUGUACGUACAAGCAGUGGGAGCACGCUUCGGCGUGUGACUGCGUACCUUUUGUAUAAUGGGUCAGCGACUUAUAUUCUGUAGCAAGGUUAACCGAAUAGGGGAGCCGAAGGGAAACCGAGUCUUAACUGGGCAUUAAGUUGCAGGGUAUAGACCCGAAACCCGGUGAUCUAGCCAUGGGCAGGUUGAAGGUUGGGUAACACUAACUGGAGGACCGAACCGACUAAUGUUGAAAAAUUAGCGGAUGACUUGUGGCUGGGGGUGAAAGGCCAAUCAAACCGGGAGAUAGCUGGUUCUCCCCGAAAGCUAUUUAGGUAGCGCCUCGUGAACUCAUCUCCGGGGGUAGAGCACUGUUUCGGCAAGGGGGUCAUCCCGACUUACCAACCCGAUGCAAACUGCGAAUACCGGAGAAUGUUAUCACGGGAGACACACGGCGGGUGCUAACGUCCGUCGUGAAGAGGGAAACAACCCAGACCGCCAGCUAAGGUCCCAAAGUCAUGGUUAAGUGGGAAACGAUGUGGGAAGGCCCAGACAGCCAGGAUGUUGGCUUAGAAGCAGCCAUCAUUUAAAGAAAGCGUAAUAGCUCACUGGUCGAGUCGGCCUGCGCGGAAGAUGUAACGGGGCUAAACCAUGCACCGAAGCUGCGGCAGCGACACUAUGUGUUGUUGGGUAGGGGAGCGUUCUGUAAGCCUGUGAAGGUGUGCUGUGAGGCAUGCUGGAGGUAUCAGAAGUGCGAAUGCUGACAUAAGUAACGAUAAAGCGGGUGAAAAGCCCGCUCGCCGGAAGACCAAGGGUUCCUGUCCAACGUUAAUCGGGGCAGGGUGAGUCGACCCCUAAGGCGAGGCCGAAAGGCGUAGUCGAUGGGAAACAGGUUAAUAUUCCUGUACUUGGUGUUACUGCGAAGGGGGGACGGAGAAGGCUAUGUUGGCCGGGCGACGGUUGUCCCGGUUUAAGCGUGUAGGCUGGUUUUCCAGGCAAAUCCGGAAAAUCAAGGCUGAGGCGUGAUGACGAGGCACUACGGUGCUGAAGCAACAAAUGCCCUGCUUCCAGGAAAAGCCUCUAAGCAUCAGGUAACAUCAAAUCGUACCCCAAACCGACACAGGUGGUCAGGUAGAGAAUACCAAGGCGCUUGAGAGAACUCGGGUGAAGGAACUAGGCAAAAUGGUGCCGUAACUUCGGGAGAAGGCACGCUGAUAUGUAGGUGAAGCGACUUGCUCGUGGAGCUGAAAUCAGUCGAAGAUACCAGCUGGCUGCAACUGUUUAUUAAAAACACAGCACUGUGCAAACACGAAAGUGGACGUAUACGGUGUGACGCCUGCCCGGUGCCGGAAGGUUAAUUGAUGGGGUCAGCGCAAGCGAAGCUCUUGAUCGAAGCCCCGGUAAACGGCGGCCGUAACUAUAACGGUCCUAAGGUAGCGAAAUUCCUUGUCGGGUAAGUUCCGACCUGCACGAAUGGCGUAAUGAUGGCCAGGCUGUCUCCACCCGAGACUCAGUGAAAUUGAACUCGCUGUGAAGAUGCAGUGUACCCGCGGCAAGACGGAAAGACCCCGUGAACCUUUACUAUAGCUUGACACUGAACAUUGAGCCUUGAUGUGUAGGAUAGGUGGGAGGCUUAGAAGUGUGGACGCCAGUCUGCAUGGAGCCGACCUUGAAAUACCACCCUUUAAUGUUUGAUGUUCUAACGUUGACCCGUAAUCCGGGUUGCGGACAGUGUCUGGUGGGUAGUUUGACUGGGGCGGUCUCCUCCUAAAGAGUAACGGAGGAGCACGAAGGUUGGCUAAUCCUGGUCGGACAUCAGGAGGUUAGUGCAAUGGCAUAAGCCAGCUUGACUGCGAGCGUGACGGCGCGAGCAGGUGCGAAAGCAGGUCAUAGUGAUCCGGUGGUUCUGAAUGGAAGGGCCAUCGCUCAACGGAUAAAAGGUACUCCGGGGAUAACAGGCUGAUACCGCCCAAGAGUUCAUAUCGACGGCGGUGUUUGGCACCUCGAUGUCGGCUCAUCACAUCCUGGGGCUGAAGUAGGUCCCAAGGGUAUGGCUGUUCGCCAUUUAAAGUGGUACGCGAGCUGGGUUUAGAACGUCGUGAGACAGUUCGGUCCCUAUCUGCCGUGGGCGCUGGAGAACUGAGGGGGGCUGCUCCUAGUACGAGAGGACCGGAGUGGACGCAUCACUGGUGUUCGGGUUGUCAUGCCAAUGGCACUGCCCGGUAGCUAAAUGCGGAAGAGAUAAGUGCUGAAAGCAUCUAAGCACGAAACUUGCCCCGAGAUGAGUUCUCCCUGACUCCUUGAGAGUCCUGAAGGAACGUUGAAGACGACGACGUUGAUAGGCCGGGUGUGUAAGCGCAGCGAUGCGUUGAGCUAACCGGUACUAAUGAACCGUGAGGCUUAACCUU